rnacentral:rRNA from 1 species
UACGUAGGGGGCGAGCGUUGUCCGAAUUCACUGGGCGUAAAGCGCGCGUAGGCGGGUCUUUAAGUUGGGGGUGAAAUGCCGAGGCUCAACCUCGGAACUGCCUUCAAAACUGGGGGCCUUGAGGUAUGGAGAGGGAAGUGGAAUUUCCGGUGUAGCGGUAAUAUGCGCAGAUAUCGGAAGGAACACCAGUGGCGAAGGCGGCUUCCUGGCCUGUACCUGACGAUGAGACGCGAAAGCGUGGGGAGCAAACAGG